CUACGGGGGGCAGCAGUGAGGAAUAUUGGUCAAUGGGCGCGAGCCUGAACCAGCCAUCCCGCGUGCAGGAUGACGGCCCUAUGGGUUGUAAACUGCUUUUCUAUGCCAAGAAACCCUGUUACGAGUAACAGGUUGCCGGUAGCAUAGGAAUAAGCAUCGGCUAACUCCGUGCCAGCAGCCGCGGUAAUACGGAGGAUGCAAGCGUUAUCCGGAUUCAUUGGGUUUAAAGGGUGCGCAGGUGGGCUUGUAAGUCAGUGGUGAAAUGCUGCCGCUUAACGGUAGAACUGCCAUUGAUACUGCGAGUCUUGAGUAUGGUUGAGGUAGGCGGAAUGUGUUGUGUAGCGGUGAAAUGCAUAGAUAUGACACAGAACGCCAAUUGCGAAGGCAGCUUACUAAGCCAUUACUGACGCUGAGGCACGAAAGCGUGGGGAGCGAACAGGAUUAGAUACCCUUGUAGUC
rnacentral:rRNA from 1 species